GGUGUAUUAGUUUAAUGGUAGAACCUAACAUUUCGACCGUUAUCGUACUAGUUCGAAUCUGGUAUACACUU
rnacentral:tRNA from 1 species